AAGAAAUUAGUUUAAAAAAACAUUAACUUGUCAAGUUAAAAAUGCUAAAUAGCAUUUCUUA
rnacentral:tRNA from 2 species